CCAUUCCUAUUUUUAAAAGGGGACAAAAAUAAAAUUUAUAUAUAAUAACAGGGUGAUACAAAUGAGAAAAACUCAAGAAAUUGUUUUCAAUUAAGAUAAAUACAUGGUUUUCAGUUGUUUUUAAAGCAGAGGCAGAUUUAGUUUAAAGUUGGAAAAAAUUGUUUGUACCAACAAAAAUAAAUACACAAAGUUAAUCCAGAAUUAUGUGUUUAUCAUUUUUUUUUAUGUUUAGGUUGCCAGAAAGAUGAAAAGAACAAAGCAGUUCAAAAGUCAAAAUGUGGAUAAGCUGAGGUACAAGGUCCUACUUUUGCAGAUUUUCAUAUUUUGCAUGAAUGAAUUUGAAGUUUAUAUCAUGGAGGGCAGAGAAAGAAAAGAAACACUUCAGUUUUCCUGCUUCUGAAGGAUAAAUGUAAAACAUCUUGUUUGAAGGAUUGAAAUUCAUCACUGAGAAUAAAAGGAGAAAACAAAGAAACAAGACCAAAAUAAAUUCAAAGACAAAAGUCAGAUCAGUUAUUAUUUUCAUCACUCAGCCAAUGAAUUGAAGUUCUAUUAAAUAUCUAAAGAUAUUAAAACCACAAUAAUGACAAUGUUCUGUGCUGAAUGGCAAAAAAGUGGACUAUACAUUACGAUCACACAAUGCUGGAUGAUAAGAAACUAUUAAUUUUUUGGGUGGAGGGAUAUCCUGAAAAAAAAAUAGAUUUAUGUAAAAAGCUACUAGUAUGUUAAGCCUUUUAAUAGAGUUUUCAUUGAUUUCAAAUGGGAAAAAAUUGUGUUUCAAAAAAGUAUUCUAGAAUUCAUAAAUAAACAUAUAUUGAUACUUACA